GCUGCCCAUGAGCCUCAGCGUCUCCUGCCUGGAUGCUCAGAGUUAAAUCCGGAAGCAAGAGGGGCUGGGGCCCUGCUGCAGAGGCUUCAGGGCUCCAGGAGAGAAGAGGGGGAGCCUGCUGGGGGGCGCCCAAGAAGGGGACUUCUGCCUCCAGUCCACUCUGAACCACGGCCACCAGGACCCUGCUGCUUUAAUAGUGAACACAGCCCUUUUCACUUUCUCCAUCCAGAAACCCUGCUGACCCUUCAUCCCAAGCGUGGGGGCAAAAAGCAGAGUAGCCAGUAAGAGGGUAACAUCUGCCCCUGGACACCCAAGUCCAGCACGUGACUCCGCAUCUUGGCUGAGUGACUUAACCUGCCGAAGCCUUGGCUUCCUCAUCUGCAGAGUGGAGCCAGUGAUGGGAUCCACCUGAAAGUGCUGGAGCCUCAAACGGGAGGAAAUGCAAGAAGUGCGCAGAGGAAGCGUUCUGCUGUGCGGCCGCUCAGUCGUGUCCGACACUUUGCAACCCCAUGGACUGCAGCACGCCAGGCCUCCCUGUCCUUCACCAUCUCCCAGAGCUUGCUCAAACUCGUGUCCAUUGAGACGGUGAUGCCAUCCAACCGUCUCACCCUCUGUCACCCCCUUCUUCUGCUCUCAGUCUUUCCCAGCAUCAGGCCCAGGACCUGGACUACAGAGCGAGGCCCCGCAGACCCGUGUGACCUGCCACCCUCCAGCUGGAGAAAAGGCCUUCUCAUCCUGGAGAGUGCUCUCAAACUUACGACAUCUCACUACUGCUUCCACCAGGCAGGCGGGCAGUGCAAAGUCCUCUGACCUGGUGACAGGGCUCCUGGCCCAGGCCGCCUGCCCUCACUUGGCAGGACUAGCUUCUGGAUCGAGAUCGGCUUCCCUGUCAAUAGAGCAAUGGGAACUUGGAAUAAAAGGUCCCUCCUGGCUCAAAAACACGAAGACCCAAGGGCUCCAGUGCCCUCUGCCUGUCCCAGUCCCCCACAAGCUGCCCUCCCACUACGCCAAACCACUGGGCCUUCCUCCUCACAGACCCCUUCCUCCCACCCAGUCCUGCACCCCACAUCACCUACUAGAGACCCCCCUAGCAGUCUCUCAUAUAGAUCUGGUUACAGAUAGUCCCACAUGUAUUUAGCCUAACACCUCAAAGGUAAAUCUUCACACC
ensembl:lncRNA